UAAUUAUCCAUAUAACUAUGUAAUUGACAAUGUAAUUAGCAAUGUAACUAGCAAUGUAACUAUCUAUGUAACUAUGUAAUUGACAAUGUAAUUAUCUAUGUAACUAUCUAUCUAUGUAACUAUUCAUGAAACUUUCCAUGUAACUAUCCAUGUAACUAUAUAAUUGACAAUUAGGGACAGACGAUAAUGUAACGCUCUAUGGGCUGUAGCCCAAAGACUUUUUUCUGUUUUUUUUAAUAGAAUAGAUUGUAUUAUAUGAAAUAAAAAGGUUUAUGAAUUAACAGCCCAGAUAAAAAAUAAUUAAAAGUAGUCAAAAACCUAUUAUAUUAUAAGCUAAAUGAGAAUUGGAAUAUACACAAAUCCUAUUCUACAUGACACCUUCACCUUUUAUUUUAUUUAAAAAGAGUAAUAGGUCCAAUAAUAAGUCCAAGUCCCCAACUAUUGCAAAACAUAAGUCUUGUUCUUUUUUUCUUCGAUACUUUUUGUUCCAAAACAUUAACUUCUUCUUUGAGUUUUCUAGAAAAUAGUUUUCCCUCAAUUUUAUUCGAUUUUGAAAACAUGUUUGUGCUACCAAUAAAUAUUGGCAUUUUGUUAUUAUCUCUAGCUUGUUACAUCGAAUUUCAAAAUAUUAAAUUUUAGGCUUUUUCUAACUACUUAAGUUCAUGAAUUUGGGAUAUUGUGAAUUCGAUUAUUUUUUUUUUAAGUUAAUUUCAGUUUACUACCCUGAACUUUAGAUCUAAAAUCAGUUUGAUACCUCAUCUUUUUUUUUAAUCAGUUUCAUACCUAAACUUUCAAAAUGACAUCAAUCUCGACCAAAAUGACUAAAAUAGCCUUAGUUAAUCAU
rnacentral:lncRNA from 1 species